rnacentral:rRNA from 1 species
CCUACGGGUGGCAGCAGUGGGGAAUAUUGGACAAUGGGGGCAACCCUGAUCCAGCCAUGCCGCGUGUGUGAAGAAGGCCCUCGGGUUGUAAAGCACUUUCAGUGAGGAAGAACGCCUGGUGGUUAAUACCCAUCAGGAAAGACAGCACUCACAGAAGAAGCACCGGCUAACUCCGUGCCAGCAGCCGCGGUAAUACGGAGGGUGCGAGCGUUAAUCGGAAUUACUGGGCGUAAAGCGCGCGUAGGUGGCUUGAUAAGCCGGUUGUGAAAGCCCCGGGCUCAACCUGGGAACGGCAUCCGGAACUGUCAAGCUAGAGUGCAGGAGAGGAAGGUAGAAUUCCCGGUGUAGCGGUGAAAUGCGUAGAGAUCGGGAGGAAUACCAGUGGCGAAGGCGGCCUUCUGGACUGACACUGACACUGAGGUGCGAAAGCGUGGGUAGCAAACAGGAUUAGAUACCCCGGUAGUC